rnacentral:rRNA from 1 species
GAUGAACGCUAGCUACAGGCUUAACACAUGCAAGUCGAGGGACCGGCGCACGGGUGCUUAACACGUAUCCAACCUGCCCUUUACUCGGGGAUAGCCUUUCGUAAGAAAGAUUAAUACCCGCUAUAAAAGAUGGGGAUGCGUUCCAGUCGGUUGUUGGUGAGGUAACGGCCCACCAAGCCUUCGAUGGAUAGGGGGUCUGCGAGGAAGGUCCACCACAAUGGAACUGAGACACGGUCCAAACACCUACGGGAGGCAGCAGUGAGGAAUAUUGGUGAAUGGGCGCUAGCCUGAUCCAGACAAGUAGCGUGAAGGAUGAAGGCUUAUGGGUCGUAAACUUCUUUUAUAUAAGAAUCGUUAUUAUAUGAAUAAGGAUCGGCUAACUCCGUGCCAGCAGCCGCGGUAAUAC